GUGAGGAAUAUUGGACAAUGGGCGCAAGCCUGAUCCAGCCAUGCCGCGUGCAGGAAGACGCAUCUAUGGUGUGUAAACUGCUUUUGUACGGGAAGAAACACUCUCUCGUGAGGGAGCUUGACGGUACCGUAAGAAUAAGGAUCGGCUAACUCCGUGCCAGCAGCCGCGGUAAUACGGAGGAUCCAAGCGUUAUCCGGAAUCAUUGGGUUUAAAGGGUCCGUAGGCGGUUUAAUAAGUCAGUGGUGAAAGCCCAUCGCUCAACGAUGGAACGGCCAUUGAUACUGUUAGACUUGAAUUACAAGGAAGUAACUAGAAUAUGUAGUGUAGCGGUGAAAUGCUUAGAUAUUACAUGGAAUACCAAUUGCGAAGGCAGGUUACUACUUGUGGAUUGACGCUGAUGGACGAAAGCGUGGGGAGCGAACAGGAUUAGAUACCCUAGUAGUCC
rnacentral:rRNA from 1 species